AGGGAUAUGAUCUCUAGCAGAGAUCGGGGAAUAGAACUAGGAGAGGAGAGACGAGUAAAUCCUUCGCUAGUGUAUCCUACCUAAGCUUAUUUGUUAGUUGGUCAGCAUAUAGGGAUAUUAUGUGAUAUAUUGAUUUGCUUAAUUAACCCUUGUUUUAUGGCAGUAUUUAAGAAUGGCAACCGAGAAUGUUAACAGUGGAGUAAAUGAGACCGUGGAGAUGCAUGUACUUACCAACGAGGAGAACGUGCAACAGGCUGGCAAUGUUCCUCCUGUGAACAACACCACUGAGCAGAUGAUGAACGAGGG
rnacentral:lncRNA from 1 species